AACGAACGCUGGCGGCAUGCCUAACACAUGCAAGUCGAACGAGACCUUCGGGUCUAGUGGCGAACGGGUGCGUAACGCGUGGGAACCUGCCCUUAGGCUCGGGAUAACGCACUAACAUGGGGGCUAAUACCGGAUAACGUCUUCGGGCCAAAGAUUUAUCGCCUUUGGAUGGGCCCGCGUUGGAUUAGCUAGUUGGUAGGGUAAGAGCUUACCAAGGCGACGAUGCAUAGCUGGUCUGAGAGGAUGAUCAGCCACACUGGGACUGAGACACGGCCCAGACUCCGACGGGAGGCAGAAGUGGGGAAUAUUGGACAAUGGGCGAAAGCCUGAUCCAGCAAUGCUGCGUGAGUGAUGCAGGCCUUAGGGUUGUAAAGCUCUUUUACCCGGGAUGAGAAUGACAGUACCGGGAGAAUAAGCUCCGGCUAACUCCGUG
rnacentral:rRNA from 1 species